AAGAACAGACCUCCAGAACAAAUUAAGUACUUAACCCAAGGUACCACUGUAAAACAACUUCGUCUUAUACACGGAAAAAUACAGUGGUACCUUGGGUUAAGUACUUAAUUCGUUCCGGAG